CGAUGCCUCAUUCCUAAUGAAGCAACUGAAAGGAGAGCAUCAUGUCAGAGUGUCUCAUUCAAAUCCCCCCCUUUUCAGGGUCUGUGUGGCAGAAGGUGCUGGAGACAGAUUCAUGGACGUGUGAAGGAGGAGACAAUAGGCACCCUGCUGACCGUCAGCAUGGACAGAGCUGUUUCCCUUCUGGCUGCUGGAUGACUUGAUGCUCCGACUCAGAUGAACUUCAGAUGAAACACAGCAGAG